UACGUAGGGGGCAAGCGUUGUCCGGAUUUAUUGGGCGUAAAGCGCUCGCAGGCGGCUCGAUGCGUCGUGCGUGAAACACCCCGGCUCAACUGGGGAGGGUCGUGCGAUACGGUCGAGCUUGAGGCCAGUAGGGGGAUGCGGAAUUCCGGGUGUAGUGGUGGAAUGCGUAGAGAUCCGGAGGAACACCAGCGGCGAAGGCGGCAUCCUGGACCGGCAUUGACGCUGAGUGAGCGAAAGCCAGGGGAGCAAACGGG
rnacentral:rRNA from 1 species